GGUUGUAUGGUGUAGUGGCAGCACAUGAGAUUCUGAUUCUCAUGACCCCGGUUCGAUCCCGGGUACGACCU